AUUGAACGCUGGCGGCAGGCCUAACACAUGCAAGUCGAACGGUAACAGGGAUCCGCUUGCUGAUUCGCUGACGAGUGGCGGACGGGUGAGUAAUGUCUUGGAAACUGCCUUAUGGAGGGGGAUAACUACUGGAAACGGUAGCUAAUACCGCAUAACGUCGCAAGACCAAAGAGGGGGACCUUCGGGCCUCUUGCCAUCGGAUGUGCCCAGAUGGGAUUAGCUAGUAGGUGGGGUAACGGCUCACCUAGGCGACGAUCCCUAGCUGGUCUGAGAGGAUGACCAGGCACACUGGAACUGAGACACGGUCCAGACUCCUACGGGAGGCAGCAGUGGGGAAUAUUGGACAAUGGGCGCAAGACUGAUGCAGCCAUGCCGCGUGUAUGAAGAAGGCCUUCGGGUUGUAAAGUACUUUCAGCGGGGAGGAAGGGAGUAAAGUUAAUACCUUUGCUCAUUGACGUUACCCGCAGAAGAAGCACCGGCUAACUCCGUG
rnacentral:rRNA from 1 species